rnacentral:rRNA from 1 species
CCUACGGGAGGCUGCAGUGGGGGAUAUUGCACAAUGGGGGAAACCCUGAUGCAGCGACGCCGCGUGGGUGAAGAAGCGCCUCGGCGCGUAAAGCCCUGUCAGCCGGGAAGAAAAUGACGGUACCUGAAGAAGAAGCCCCGGCUAACUACGUGCAAGCAGCCGCGGUAAUACGUAGGCGGCAAGCGUUAUCCGGAUGUACUGGGGGUAAAGGGGGCGCAGACGGCGUUGCAAGCCAGAAGUGAAAGCCCGGGGCCCAACCCCGGGACUGCCCUUGAAACUGCGUGGCUGGAGUGCAGGAGGGGCAGGCGGAAUUCGCGGUGUAGCGGUGAAAUGCGUAGAUAUCAGGAGGAACACCGGUGGCGAAGGCGGCCUGCUGGA